UAUAAUACAAUUAAAUUAGUUUAGUUUUAAUCGAUCGAUAUAUAAUAAUUUUAAAUAUAAAUUUAUUAAGUGAAAUUUUAAAUUUUUUAAAGAUUUUUUUUUGUUGAUGAUUUUAAGAAAUUUUAGAUAAAAACUAGGAUUAGAUACCCUAUUAUUUAAAAUGUAAUUUUAAAAGCUAAAUUAGUAUCAGUUAUGGUCUUGAAAAUUAAAGAUUUUGGCGGUAUUUUAGUCUUUUCAGAGGAACCUGUUCUAUAAUUGAUAAUCCACGAUUUAAUUUACUUUUUUUAAUUAGUUUUCAUAUCGUCGUAGUUUGAAUAUUUUAUAAGAAUUUAAAUAUUCAAGAUUUAUUAUAAUAAAAGAAAUCAGAUCAAGGUGUAGUUUAUAAAAAAGAAGAAAUGGGUUACUAUAAUUAAAAUUUAGGAUAAUUAUUUUUAUAAUGAUUUGAAUAUGGAUUUGAUAGUAAUUUUUAUUAAUUUAUAAAAAUGAUUUUAGCUCUAAAAUUAA
rnacentral:rRNA from 1 species